GGACCCGCACAAGCAGUGGAUGAUGUGGUUUAAUUCGAAGCUACGCGAAAAACCUUACCAGGGCUUGACAUGUUCGGAAAGUCUGCGAGAGUAGACCGUGCCUUCGGGAACCGAAACACAGGUGGUGCAUGGUUGUCGUCAGCUCGUGUCGUGAGAUGUUGGGUUAAGUCCCGCAACGAGCGCAACCCUUAUUGUUAGUUGCCAGCAUUUAGUUGGGCACUUUAACGAGACUGCCGUUGACAAAACGGAGGAAGGUGGGGACGACGUCAAAUCAUCAUGCCCCUUAUGUCCUGGGCUACACACGUCAUACAAUGGUCAUUAACAGAGGGAAGCCAAGCCGCGAGGCGGAGCAAAUCCCCAAAAAUGGCCCCAGUUCGGAUUGUAGGCUGAAACUCGCCUGCAUGAAGUUGGAAUUGCUAGUAAUCGCGAAUCAGCAUGUCG
rnacentral:rRNA from 1 species